CCCGCGGUGACUGAGGGGCGGGUGGGGGCCGGGCCAAGAUGGCGGGGGACAGCGACGGGCACUGCGCUCCUCGCCAUCUCCUCAGCUCUGGAGGAGGCGGGCAGCUCCGGCAUCCUCCGCCUCAGCGGCAGGAGAUGGAUGCUCGUGGAGAAGGGAAUCUGCCAGGGAUGAGAAGAUCACUGUUGAAGCAGAGCACACUGCAAACAUGAUGUGCUCUUUCAUGCUUGAAGCUGGAUAAAUCUCCCUAACUCAGCAGAGGGAAAGUGAAACCCAGGCCUGGAGCAGUUCUGGUGGUUUGUGUGGUUAACCCCCAGGCAGUGCUCUCCACUCCUCAGGGACACUUCAGGGCUUUGCUCUCUUUGUUCUGGUGAUCUCAGUUCCACAUUUUGCACUGAAGUUUGGUCCAGAGCCCUGGGGCAGCUCAGAAUCCUGCUCCACGUUUGUUUCUUGUCUGGACAGUUUGGUUUUACUCGAUGCCUUGUUUAAGAUGCAGUUCCUUGCUCCUGCUCUUGCUGAGGACACUUAGUGGGUUGGGGCUGGGCCCUGCUUGGAGCACAGAAGGUUGGGAAUGCAAGGAGCUUCCUUUCAAGCUGACAGAACACAAGGGCUGAUGAGACAGGCACUGAGACUGUGCCUUUGUCACAGCUUCAGGGGCACAGUCUGCUCCUGCAGCCCUCCCUCUCUGCCUAUCCCCUGCCCCUGGCAUCUGUAUUUCCUGAAAAUACAUGGAAUCUCACCUUCAAAAGUUGGCUUCAAAAUGACAUAAGAAAAGCUUAAUAAAAAUGCCAAGGUCACA